rnacentral:misc_RNA from 1 species
GAUGAAGAACGUAGCGAAAUGCGAUAAGUAAUGUGAAUUGCAGAAUUCAGUGAAUCAUCGAAUCUUUGAACGCACAUUGCGCCCGCCAGUAUUCUGGCGGGCAUGCCUGUUCGAGCGUCAUUUCAACCCUCAAGCCCAGCUUGGUGUUGGGGAUCGGCACAGGCGCCCUCGGGCGCCCGCCGUCCCCUAAAUCUAGUGGCGGUCCCGCUGCAGCCUCCUCUGCGUAGUAGUUUUCUCCUCGCAAGGGCAGCUCGGUGGCGACCUCGCCGUAAAACCCCCAGCUUCUGAAAGGUUGACCUCGAAUCAGGUAGGAAUACCCGCUGAACUUAAGCAUAUCAAUAAGCGGAGGA